UUCAGGUCUACAAUGCUGUUGCAGAGAUUCUUGGACUCCAACCAGCUCCGAACAAUGGUUCUUCUUUGUUUACUCGUAGCCUUCUCUUGCCCUUAGCGCAAGUAGAAUGAAACUAACUUUAGUCUGUGAGUGUCUUUCAAGUUUGUUUCAGCAGAAACUGCUGUGGUUUCUAGUUUCCGAUGCAUUCUACCUUUUGUUUUAAAUCAACAUGUACCAUCAAAUGAAUAAGAGUAAGAGAAAACGAGCUAGCCUAUAUGUUAAUUUUUGAUGAUAACAGCAAAAGCAACAUGACUCAAAUACCACAAUACUUGCACAGAAAUAGGUUAAUGAAGAAUUCUAUUAUCAUUAACCAAAGUCGCAAAACACUAGCACAGGAAUAAGAACAGAACUUUUUUGAUGAAGACAAUACUAACAUAAAUAAUAAAUAUAUUACUCCUUUUCAGAAAACCUAAAAACCAUGUGACUCUAUUGCGUAGAGCUUAGUUAAAAGAUUUAAUGUUGUCAGUGGAUCAGGAAGGUCAUUUAUCAAAAUUCGAUUUUCUUGGUUAAGUUUAAAAGCUCAAGUAGCUCGGCCAAAAAUGUAAGACUGACAUGUGCAUGUCACGGUAUUAACCUCGAAAUCAUCAAGAACGUGCUACACAACAAACAAGUUGCUACCAGGAAUGAUUCUAUUGUUAAUAAUUUAACACUGAAUAAAUAGUUAAAUACUAGACCGGAACUGAUUUAAUCAGGCCUUUUAUUAGAUACGUGUUUAGAAUUACCUAAUAGAUUACAGUAACCAACCAAAAUAUGCAUUCACCUGAACCAAAUCAGUCUAUCAUGCUAUCACUAAAGAACUGAAAUGAGUGAGAGUAAGUGAGCAUACUAAAAAAGUAAGUGAGUAUAGUAAACACUAACAGGGUGUCUUUGAUACAGAAACAAAGACCAUAAGACCAAGAACUAACAAAUGAUACUCUAAACCGGUUCCAGUUAGAUUAAGGAAAGGAUCAUACUUACUAAAUACCACCACUUUGCUCUUGUGAACCAAAUAACCCUUUGCAAGAUUUUCCUAUGUCAGAAUCGUCAUUAUAAAUUCCACCUGCACAUGUUCCAAAAAGCAAGUCAUAGUUAAAAUUUUCAGUAUGUAUACCAACAGAAGUGAUGGAAAUGCUGAACAAAAAAAUAAGUGAAAAAAAAUAAUCGAGCUCUAGCCAAGUAAAUGCUUAAGCGAUUACUUCAGCUUCAGCAGCUGAUGAGCUCUUCGUGGAAUCAAUCAGUUUCUGAUAUGAUAUUAGUGAGGAAACUGGGGACGGUUUCGAGAGACAAAAAGAGUUAUCAACCUGCUUAAACCAAAUGAUAAAAAUGUAAGAACGAUAUACGUUCCAUAUGUCUUUUGGUUUGAAGCAGUUUGAUAAUUCUUCAUGACUCUCGGAUAUCAAGUUGUUGUUUUUCUUGAUUAAGAAUAAUGCCAUUCCACCUGCAAUUUGCUACAGAACAGCAAGCUAUAAUUAGUAUUACAGUUGAGAAACUGAAGAAAUUUCAGAGAGAGAGACAGAGAUACUAACUAUAAUCUGAGCUGUUUCGAAACUUCCUAUCACACUUCUACAUAGAUUAACAGGGCAAAGCCGACAGACAAACUCUGAUUAAAAUAUGUUCAAAUAUUUAAACAAAUAUAUGUAUCUAACUUAGGAGCUUUUCCAUUGGAACUUAUCUCUAUCAGGCUGCAACUACGCCAAGAACCAUAAUCUCAUAACUCAACUUUUAGUAACACAAAAAUAAUAAACUUAAAGAUCUGAGGGAGAAAACAUAUAAUAUAUAAAAUUACAAAUUCCGCAAGAACUUGAAUUUCAUAACAAACUACAUAUAAUCUUUCAAUGCCUAAGCGAAUUCCCAAGUACUUAACCCUUUCAUACAUUGUCUUGAGCAGGUUAGAGCAGAGAAGAGGAGCAAGUCAAUUUAACUUUGCAAACUAAUGAAGGAGAGGUACACUUCAACUAACAUUUCUGAGAUCAAAACACAUGAGGCAAAAUCUCGACACAUUGAGAAAAAUUGUCAGAUUAUCUUAAUCAGACUGCUGGCAUCCUAGACCAAUUUUCAAGAAACAAACUGUUUAUUAAGACCAGUUGCAACAACAUAGGUCAAGCAUGUCUCAUCAGAGUCUCCAGUCCGUUCCCAGUAGAUAACACCACCACACACUCAUAGAUAUAUUGGGAGGGCUCAAACUUAAUCAGACCAAUUACAAGACCUAAUUGGAAAAAAGGAUACCCGUUUGGUGAACCAGGAGGAGGAAUGGGGGGAUCUUAUUUGAUAAACUAUCACGUUUUGAGCAAGAAUCCUAGUUUCACAUCUUAAAUUCCUUUAUCUAUAUGGCAUUGGCAAAUAGACAACUUCCACUACAUCAUACACUGUCGCAAAUACAUACACCUAUGAGCAAUACAGAGAUUCAUGGAGAUACCAAAUUUCUACUGAAUCAAGCUUGUAGUAAAGCAUCUUGGAUUCAUGGGUAUUGGGAACUUUUUGUGUAAAUACGCACACUGAUAACCUGAUAAAGAGAGUAUUGACCUCGAAUACGUUGACAGGAGUCGGCGAGUUAGAGAAGGUGUGGCAGAAUUGGAAGAGUUGCAGAGUUGAUAUGACACGGCGUCGCAGAAGCGUUGUAGGGAGCUUCCCCAAAGCUAUUGCCACUACUUUGAAAUAUAAGAAAUUGUGGUGGACAUACCAAACGACGGCGU
rnacentral:lncRNA from 1 species